UCGGUUUUGAAGCGCGAGCGCUCUCCGCCGUUCCUCCGUUUAAAGCCGAGCGCGACCGUUACAGCGGUUUACAGUGAGCGAGUCUGUCAGGUCGCUACCGCGAGCAGUUUAUCGAGUUUGUUUAGCGAGUGUUAAACCUCGAUAAGCCUCUCUUACACUCCUUACUGAGACAGCGCCGCCUGCCGGGUGACGCUUUCAGCUCCACAAACGAGGAGUUUCAGCUGCGUAGCUGACUAAAGUUACCUGACUGGACCGAGUGGAGUGGAGACUGGUUUUACGACUGGAGUCCCGACUGCAGCGGUCAGAGUCUGCUUUUAAAAGAUGUUUCUCAUCAGAAAUCAUCUGAAGCUGAGCAACUGGAACAUCCUCUCUUUGGGCCUCAUCCUUCUUUCAUUACACUGAACAUCAUUGUCUGAACAUCAGCUAUGCGUGUGAGCUGGGUGCCACGCUGGAGUUCAUGCAUAGCGAGCUUGGCAUGCCCUCACACAACGCAACACGUCUACCGGAGCCCGUGUAUUGGCGGAACCGCUCUGGCGCUUGAUCAGUCAGAGCCAAGUGAGCGAGCUAACUAAUCUGAGCGUACUGGGCUCAUCAGGAAGGAGGGGCUUAAAGACACUGGAGCUCUAACAGAGCGUUUCAGACAGAGGAUGCAUUUUCCUCAUAUCUCUGACAAAGAAGACCAACACUGAGAAAAAACAGAGGAAGAAGUGAUGGGCUGUGAAUCUGACAGUUCUCUCACUCAUCACGGAUUUAACUCUGAAAGGAGAGAUCGGUAACAUUAGCAGUGUGAUAUCAGUAAUGUUAGUGUUCAGGCAUUACGGCAUGGACAUAUGCACAUCGAGUUGUCUGUGUCCUGUUUCCUGUGUCCACAUAUGUCCACAGCUUGACUCUAUUCCAGCUACCAGCACAUCUGAGUCUGGUAUUAAUUGUUUGACAGCUGAUCAUUAUCUGGCUCAGGUAUGUUAUGAGUGCUGCUGGGGUUCAGACCUCUGUAUUACUCUGUUGGUCAGUUUGUCCAUAUUAAUUUGUCUUAAAAUUGUUUCCCAUCAUUUAUAAUUGUUCAUAGUACUAUGAUUAUGAGUACUUGUUAAUAACCUCAGCAUAACUUAUAUACGGAAUAACAGCAGACCUUAAAAUCAGAUUCAUUGGUUUGUGGAACUGUGUAUUUAUUGCAGUAUAUUUCAAAUUUCUACACAAAGUCAGUUAACAUGUUUUUCUCCGUCUGUAGGACAUAUCAAGUGUGAUGACGCUAUUGUACUGUGCAUAUACACAGUUGUAAAAACAAUAACUGUAAUUAUAUUUUUUGAAAGCUA